AUUGAACGCUGGCGGCAGGCCUAACACAUGCAAGUCGAGCGGAUGAAGGGAGCUUGCUCCUGGAUUCAGCGGCGGACGGGUGAGUAAUGCCUAGGAAUCUGCCUGGUAGUGGGGGAUAACGUCCGGAAACGGGCGCUAAUACCGCAUACGUCCUGAGGGAGAAAGUGGGGGAUCUUCGGACCUCACGCUAUCAGAUGAGCCUAGGUCGGAUUAGCUAGUUGGUGGGGUAAAGGCCUACCAAGGCGACGAUCCGUAACUGGUCUGAGAGGAUGAUCAGUCACACUGGAACUGAGACACGGUCCAGACUCCUACGGGAGGCAGCAGUGGGGAAUAUUGGACAAUGGGCGAAAGCCUGAUCCAGCCAUGCCGCGUGUGUGAAGAAGGUCUUCGGAUUGUAAAGCACUUUAAGUUGGGAGGAAGGGCAGUAAGUUAAUACCUUGCUGUUUUGACGUUACCAAUAGAAUAAGCACCGGCUAACCUCGUG
rnacentral:rRNA from 1 species